rnacentral:rRNA from 1 species
UACGUAGGGUGCAAGCGUUAAUCGGAAUUACUGGGCGUAAAGCGUGCGCAGGCGGUUUUGUAAGUCAGAUGUGAAAUCCCCGGGCUUAACCUGGGAACUGCGUUUGAAACUACAAGGCUAGAGUGUGACAGAGGGGGGUGGAAUUCCACGUGUAGCAGCGAAAUGCGUAGAGAUGUGGAGGAACACCGAUGGCGAAGGCAGCCCCCUGGGUUAACACUGACGCUCAGGCACGAAAGCGUGGGGAGCAAACAGG